rnacentral:rRNA from 1 species
GAUGAACGCUGGCGGCGUGCCUAAUACAUGCAAGUCGAGCGAACAGACGAGGAGCUUGCUCCUUUGACGUUAGCGGCGGACGGGUGAGUAACACGUGGGUAACCUACCUAUAAGACUGGGAUAACUUCGGGAAACCGGAGCUAAUACCGGAUAAUAUUUCGAACCUCAUGGUUCGAUAGUGAAAGAUGGCUUUGCUAUCACUUAUAGAUGGACCUGCGCCGUAUUAGCUAGUUGGUAAGGUAACGGCUUACCAAGGCAACGAUACGUAGCCGACCUGAGAGGGUGAUCGGCCACACUGGAACUGAGACACGGUCCAGACUCCUACGGGAGGCAGCAGUAGGGAAUCUUCCGCAAUGGGCGAAAGCCUGACGGAGCAACGCCGCGUGAGUGAUGAAGGUCUUCGGAUCGUAAAACUCUGUUAUUAGGGAAGAACAAACGUGUAAGUAACUGUGCACGUCUUGACGGUACCUAAUCAGAAAGCCACGGCUAACUACGUG